CAGUAGCCGCGGUAAUACGUAGGGUGCAAGCGUUAAUCGGAAUUACUGGGCGUAAAGCGUGCGCAGGCGGUUUGUUAAGACAGAUGUGAAAUCCCCGGGCUCAACCUGGGAACUGCAUUUGUGACUGGCAAGCUAGAGUGUGGCAGAGGGGGGUGGAAUUCCGCGUGUAGCAGUGAAAUGCGUAGAUAUGCGGAGGAACACCGAUGGCGAAGGCAGCCCCCUGGGCCAACACUGACGCUCAUGCACGAAAGCGUGGGGAGCAAACAGGAUUAGAGACCCGCGUAGUCCCUGUCUCUUAUAU
rnacentral:rRNA from 1 species